rnacentral:rRNA from 1 species
GCUUUUGUCAAGGGUCGUUUCAUUCUCGAUGGGGUCCUCUGCUUGCAUGAGCUUAUUCAUGACAUUCAUAAAUCAGGCAGCAAGGCAGUAAUUCUCAAAUUGGACUUUGAAAAGGCUUAUGAUUCGGUUAGUUGGAGCUUCCUUAAGCAAGUUCUUCUGGCUAAAGGUUUUGAUAGUGGGGUGGUUCACCGUAUUUUGCAGUUGUUCAUGGGUGGCCAUACUGCCAUUAAUGUCAAUGGGAGAGUUAGUAAUUUCUUUAACAACUCUAAAGGCCUCCGGCAAGGCGAUCCAGCCUCUCCCAUUCUCUUCAACUUUGUGGCAGACGCUCUUUCUAAUAUCUUAUCUAGAGCCGCAGAGGCUGGUCACAUCUCUCCUGUCUGCUCACACCUCUUCCCGGAGGGUAUUACGCACCUGCAAUACGCUGACAACACUAUUAUUUUGGUGGAACUGAACGAUCAUUGCAUUGCCCAUCUCAAAUUUCUGCUGCUAUGUUUCGAAGCUUUAUCGGGUCUAAAGAUCAACUUCUCCAAGAGUGAAGUCAUUGUCACUGGUGUAACAGAUUCAGAGGCCUUACGGGUGGCCCACCUUUUGAAUUGCUCUCUUGGCUCGUUCCCCAUUAAGUACUUAGGUCUUCCCAUCACCUCUGGCAAGCUCCUUGCCAAAGAUUUUGCUCCUACGGUGGCCAAGGUGGGUAACCGUGUUAUGCACUGGAGGGGCAGGUACAACACUCAGGCGGGUAAAGUUGCCUUGAUUAAUGCAUGCCUCACAUCUCUCUCGAUGUUCUUAAUGGGCUUUUACCUUCUUUCUAUGGGAACCCAUGCGGGCUUUGAUAAACAUAGAGGUGCUUUCUACUGGAACGCUGCUGAUAACAAGCACAAAUAUCGCUUGGUCAAAUGGGACCAUAUUUGUAAGCUCAAAAGCCUUGGGGGGCUG